rnacentral:rRNA from 1 species
AUGGCCAAACAAGUGUACGAGUGCAACUGGGUUCCCUCCCGUGUCACAGAAUCACAGCUGAAUGAUCUAGUCCUGAUCGGCGCUUUGGAUAACAAAGAUACGAUUCACUGGAGGGUUCCUGGAGAUGAAUGUCCUCCUACACCCCAGGAAGGAGAGGUCGUGGUCUUCGCAGAUCACAUGGCCCGGGGCUUCAAACCGCCCGGCUCCAAAUUUUAUCGGGAUGUGUUAGCCAACUUUCAACUCCGUCCACAGGAUAUUGGCCCCAACUCCGUCACUAAUCUAUGUCACUUUCAAGUACUUUCUGAGGCAUACCUUCAAGAGGAGCUUUCAGUCGAGUUAUUUAGAGAUCUCUUUCAUCUGAACCGCCGUACUGAAUUCACUGACGGCCUUAAUACCGAACUUGGCGGUAUGGCCAUUCAGAAAAGGAAAGAAAUCACCUAUCCCCACGUCAAACUCCAUACUCACCCUAAGGAAUGGAACGCAACUUGGUUUUAUUGCAAGGAUACCUCUCCUGACAAUGAAAAUCCCUUGCCUGGCUUCCGUCCGGAACGGCUCAGCAACACUCACCCUUUUCCACAAAGGCUAAGCGCCAAGGAGAGAAUUAAAUACGCUCCUCAACUAUCCAAGCUCCGGGCCUUCAUGGCCAAUGGUUUAACAGGAAUAGACCUUGCACGCUGCUGGAUAUCAUGGAGCAUUUUGCCUCUAAGCCGGCGCCCAAAUUUGAUGUGCGAGUAUACUGAUAGUGUCGAUGACCCACUCCGACACACUAAAAUCCAGCUCCCUGAUGACGAAGUCACAGAAUCUGUGAAAAAGAUGUUGAAUGAACCGGAGCACCUCUGUGCUCAAACCGGUCUGCCUCCUUACUGCACCACCAACAAACCGCCAGCGGGUGAUAAUCCAUUUUGGAGCAAGAAACUUCCUCAAGACAAAACGGAAAAGGCAGGACGGCCAACCCGGCCCAAGACCAAGGUUAUCAAGAAGCCAGCUCAUAAGAGAAAAACCACCGCUUCAUCUGACCCAGCCAUUGACGAUGAUGUGGGUAAUCCGGAUCUUGAGGAUGACGCUGAAGCCAGCAAUGCGGGUUUUGUUGAGACCCAGCAACACGAAGCUCGCCGCACAACCCGGCAGAGUGGCCAGGUAGUUACCUCUGCCGGUUUACCAAACAGUCCGGUUCGAAAACACCGCUCCGAGGUCACUUCUCAUUCAUCGUCUGGUGAAUCAUCGGCCACCUAG